GGGCCCGCACAAGCGGUGGAGCAUGUGGUUUAAUUCGAUGCAACGCGAAGAACCUUACCUGGUCUUGACAUACACAGAAUCUUGUAGAGAUACGAGAGUGCCUUCGGGAAUUGUGAUACAGGUGCUGCAUGGCUGUCGUCAGCUCGUGUCGUGAGAUGUUGGGUUAAGUCCCGCAACGAGCGCAACCCUUGUCCUUAGUUACCAGCGGGUUAAGCCGGGAACUCUAAGGAUACUGCCAGUGACAAACUGGAGGAAGGCGGGGACGACGUCAAGUCAUCAUGGCCCUUACGACCAGGGCUACACACGUGCUACAAUGGUAGGUACAGAGGGCAGCUACACAGCGAUGUGAUGCGAAUCUCAAAAAGCCUAUCGUAGUCCAGAUUGGAGUCUGCAACUCGACUCCAUGAAGUAGGAAUCGCUAGUAAUCG
rnacentral:rRNA from 1 species